UCUAAUGUGGCAGAGUAGUGCACUGGACUUAAACCCCAAAUAUAAAGUUUGCCCUUUCUUUAGAA
rnacentral:tRNA from 1 species